GCUUGUCUCAAAGAUUAAGCCAUGCAUGUCUCAGUACUUGCUUUUACAAGGCGAAACCGCGAAUGGCUCAUUAAAUCAGUUAUGGUUCACUAGAUCGUACAGUUUACAUGGAUAACUGUGGUAAUUCUAGAGCUAAUACAUGCAUUCAGCUCGCUCUCUCGGGAGCGAGCGCAGUUAUUAGAAUAAAACCAAUCCGGCCUUCGGGUCGGUAAAAUUGGUGACUCUGAAUAACCGAAGCGGAGCGCAUGGUCUCGUACCGGCGCCAGAUCUUUCAAGUGUCUGACUUAUCAGCUCGUAGGUAGGUUAUGUGCCUACCUAGGCUCCAACGGGUAACGGGGUGUCAGGGCCCGACACCGGAGAGGGAGCCUGAGAAACGGCUACCACAUCCAAGGAAGGCAGCAGG
rnacentral:rRNA from 1 species